AUUUUUAAUUGGAAUCUGGAAUGAAUGGUUGAAUGAAAGAUUAACUUUAUUAAAAAAAAUGAAAUUUAUUUUUUAGUAAAAAAGCUAAAAUAUUAUAAGAAGACGAGAAGACCCUAUAGAGUUUAAUAAAUUUUAUUAUAUAUAAUUAUUUAUAAAAUUUAAAUAUUUAUAGUUAUUUUAUUUUAUUGGGGUGAUAGUAAAAUUUAAUUAACUUUUAAAUUUUUAUUUCAAUAAUUUUUGUAUUUUUGAUCUUUUAAUAUAGAUUAUAAGAAUAAAUUACCUUAGGGAUAACAGAAUAAUUUUUUUAUUAAGUUCUUAUUAAUAAAAAAGAUUAU
rnacentral:rRNA from 1 species